rnacentral:rRNA from 1 species
GUGGACGUACCCCUGGUGUUCCGGUUGUCACGCCAGUGGCAUUGCCGGGUAGCUACGUACGGAAGGGAUAACCGCUGAAAGCAUCUAAGCGGGAAGCCCACCCUAAGAUAAGUUUUCCCUGGAUCCUUGAGAUCCCUGAAGGGCCAUCGUAGACUACGAUGUUGAUAGGUCGGGUGUGGAAGCUCAGUAAUGAGUGAAGCUAACCGAUACUAAUUACCCGUGAGGCUUGGUCUUAUAACA